CCUACGGGGGGCAGCAGUGAGGAAUAUUGGUCAAUGGACGAGAGUCUGAACCAGCCAAGUAGCGUGAAGGAUGACUGCCCUAUGGGUUGUAAACUUCUUUUAUAGGGGAAUAAAAUGUGCCACGUGUGGGAUUUUGUAUGGACCAUAUGAAUAAGGAUCGGCUAACUCCGUGCCAGCAGCCGCGGUAAUACGGAGGAUCCGUGCGUUAUCCGGAUUUAUUGGGUUUAAAGGGAGCGGAGGUGGCUUGUUAAGUCAGUUGUGAAAGUUUGCGGCUCAACCGGCAAAUUGCAGUUGAAACUGGCAGUCUUGAGUACAGUUGCGGUGGGCGGACUUCGUGUUGUAGCGGU
rnacentral:rRNA from 1 species